rnacentral:rRNA from 1 species
AACGAACGCUGGCGGCAUGCCUAACACAUGCAAGUCGAACGAGACCUUCGGGUCUAGUGGCGCACGGGUGCGUAACGCGUGGGAACCUGCCUUUAGGUUCGGAAUAACUCAGAGAAAUUUGAGCUAAUACCGGAUAAUGUCUUCGGACCAAAGAUUUAUCGCCUUUAGAUGGGCCCGCGUUGGAUUAGCUAGUUGGUGGGGUAAAGGCCUACCAAGGCGACGAUCCAUAGCUGGUCUGAGAGGAUGAUCAGCCACACUGGGACUGAGACACGGCCCAGACUCCUACGGGAGGCAGCAGUGGGAAUAUUGGACAAUGGGCGAAAGCCUGAUCCAGCAAUGCCGCGUGAGUGAUGAAGGCCUAGGUGUAAAGCUCUUUACCCGUAGAUGAUAAUGACAGUAUCGGGAGAAUAAGACUCCGGCUAACUACCGUGCCAGCAGCCGCGGUAAUGUGACUACUG